ACUUGAUUCGCUUAACUCCUCCCCAAUCUAUACUAACAUUCUUACUAUAUGCUUCAACAGCUAGCGACAUGUUCAGGGUUGCCUAGUUUAAUAUCUCAUCUAUGCUCCUCGAUUCUUUUUUCAAUUGUUUGGGACGUAACACCAAUGUACGCUGUCUCUGUAUGCGUAGCACAUUCGACUAAGAGUAUUCUAUACACCCCACUUCUUUCAUUUUGUUUAAGCAGGUCUUUCUCAUUCCUUAGAACAUCGAACACAGUUGGAUUUCUUUCCACCGCCAUUCUUUUUCUAUUUUUAUCCAUCAU
rnacentral:lncRNA from 1 species